rnacentral:rRNA from 1 species
UUGACCUCAAAUCAGGUAGGACUACCCGCUGAACUUAAGCAUAUCAAUAAGCGGAGGAAAAGAAACUAACAAGGAUUCCCCUAGUAACUGCGAGUGAAGCGGGAAAAGCUCAAAUUUAAAAUCUGUUGGCAUUGGCCAACUGAGUUGUAAUCUAGAGAAGUGUUACCCGUGCUGGACCGUGUACAAGUCUCCUGGAAUGGAGCAUCACAGAGGGUGAGAAUCCCGUCUUUGACAUGGACUACCAGUGCUUUUGUGGUAUACUCUCAAAGAGUCGAGUUGUUUGGGAAUGCAGCUCAAAAUGGGUGGUAAAUGCCAUCUAAAGCUAAAUAUUGGCGAGAGACCGAUAGCGAACAAGUACCGUGAGGGAAAGAUGAAAAGAACUUUGGAAAGAGAGUUAAACAGUACGUGAAAUUGCUGAAAGGGAAACGCUUGAAGUCAGUCGCGUUGAUCUGGAAUCAACCCUGCUUUUGCUGGGUGUACUUUCUUGUCAACGGGUCAGCAUCAAUUUUGACCGUUGGAUAAAGUUGUUGGGAAUGUGGCAUCUUCGGAUGUGUUAUAGCCCAAUGAUGCAUACAGUGGUUAGGAUUGAGGAACUCAGCACGCUGAAAGGCCGGGUUUCGACCACGUCCGUGCUUAGGAUGCUGGCAUAAUGGCUUUAAUCGACCCGUC